GACAAGCUAAAGUUGCUUGGUCGUAGCCUCGGUGAGACCGUAUUGCGUAUGAACAUGGGGCACAGGACACUUCAACUUACAUCCCGAUAAACUUCUUUAAAAAAUGGGUAGUGAGCCCGUAGAAGUAUAAGCAGCAUAAGCAGUAGAUAAUAGUGUAACACGUGACCAGAGUGUUAACACUUCAACCAACACCAUAAAGCAUAAAAAGGUGUCCGCAAGUUGGUUGUAUCUAUCUACAUAGUUUGAUGUAAGAAUAGAAUGUUCACUUUUGUGUUAUUUAGCAUAGGAGGGUCUCACUCCUUAUUUAGCUAAAGAAUAGGCUUUCAAAACGAGCAAUGAGCAUUGCAGGGGGCCAAUGCGACAUCGAGGAAAGGCCGGUGCACCUCAAUUGCAUGAGGAAUUGACCGGACGACCUCCAGGAAGUUGGAGUCGUGUUCGGGUGACCUCAAUGUCCCCCGGGUCACCACCAUGCUUCAUGGUGAUGCUAGAUCUCGAAUGUCUUCAUUUUGAGCGGAAUAAUGGAUGUCCAUGAGAUUUUCUCAAAAUUUGGACCAUUAUAUCUCUUCCAGGUUGACCAAUUUGGUCAAACCAAAGCCUAUAUGAGUCGGUGUCCCAAAUAUCAUGUAUUGCGACACCAUGGGAUUCGAUAUUCGAAUCGUAGUGACAUACAGUUCACUAGAUUGACUCAUGAAUUUCUCCAAGAUGCGCUUCAGUUCGCAUUCAUGAGGAGGUAUACACAAAAGAAUUCUUGUUCAUUCUCACAAUGUGUUUUCAAAUGAAAACCAUUAGCAGGAAUGUCUUUAAAACUUAACAUGGUUCCUUAGAAUGUUGUGGAUAGUUCCACUAUCUGCGAAGCACUCAAUGUCUCUAUGAGACAUAACUACAAGGAGUAGAUAGGCGAGUAAAUAGUUCUACUUGAACCAUUUAGAAGGAUUGAAAGAAGCUACGAAAAGCUGCAAUCCCGAGAGUGCAUAAAAAUUUCCGCGCAGAAUGACCUUUGCG
rnacentral:lncRNA from 1 species